rnacentral:rRNA from 1 species
GAUCAUGGCCAGGACGAACGCUGGCGGCGCGCCUAACACAUGCAAGUCGAACGAGCGAGAGAGAGCUUGCUUUCUCAAGCGAGUGGCGAACGGGUGAGUAACGCGUGAGGAACCUGCCUCAAAGAGGGGGACAACAGUUGGAACGACUGCUAAUACCGCAUAAGCCCGACAGCUCGGCAUCGAGCAGAGGGAAAAGGAGCAAUCCGCUUUGAGAUGGCCUCGCGUCCGAUUAG